AUACAGAGGGUGCAAGCGUUAAUGGGAAUUACUGGGCGUAAAGCGCGCGUAGGCGGCUUAUUAAGUCAGAUGUGAAAUCCCAGGGCUCAACCUUGGAACUGCCUCUGAUACUGGUAAGCUAGAGUUUAGGAGAGGGAAGUAGAAUUUCAGGUGUAGCGGUGAAAUGCAUAGAGAUCUGAAGGAAUACCAGUGGCGAAGGCGACUUCCUGGCCUAAAACUGACGCUGAGGUGCGAAAGCGUGGGUAGCAAACGGGAUUAGAAACCCUGGUAGUCC
rnacentral:rRNA from 1 species